UGAAGUUCUGUAAACAAGUGGCAAAUUGAUUUUUAAAUUAUACUAGAAACAAAACUAUACGCGUCUGUUGUAUUUUUUAAAAAUGUUUUGAAAAUGUUGACAUGCUCAAAAUUAAAUUUUGAAAACUGAUAAUGGAAGCCAAACUAGAAGGAGUGUUUGAUGAGUGGGAAUCCCUUAAUAAAGAAUAUGACGAAUAUCAGGUGAAU